AUUGAACGCUGGCGGCAUGCCUUACACAUGCAAGUCGAACGGUAACGCGCCAUCGGGUGGCGAUGAGUGGCGGACGGGUGAGUAAUACAUCGGAACGUGCCCGAUCCUGGGGGUUAACGGGGCGAAAGGUAUGCUAAUAUAGCAUACGAUCUACGGCUGCAAGCAGGGGAAAGCAAGGGCUUGCGCGGACUGAGCGGCCGAUGGCAGAUUAGGUAGUUGGUGGGAUAAGGGGUUACCAAGCCGACGAUCUGUAGCUGGUCUGAGAGGAUGAUCAGCCACACUGGGACUGAGACACGGACCAGACUCCUACGGGAGGCAGCAGUGGGGAAUUUUGGACAAUGGGCGCAAGCCUGAUCCAGCCAUGCCGCGUGGAGGAUGAAGGCCUUCGGGUUGUAAACUGCUUUUGUACGGAACGAAAAGCCGUCUGUUAAUACAGGGGGGUCAUGACGGUACCGGAAGAAUAAGCACCGGCUAACUACGUG
rnacentral:rRNA from 1 species